AGACAUUAAUUGGCUUCCCAAAGGCAAACGGGCACAGCAUCUACUGGGGGAAGAUACUGAAACAGUGCCAGCAUGCAUAAUGUGAACAAGACUACUAAAAUAAAUAGGAUCAGAUUGAAAGGAAUUUCCUUGAUGUUCUCUGAUGUUUUCCAGAAGAGAAAAAGAAUGUCACACCUUUUGAAUGUUCCUUGGCUGCAGGUGGAGAUUUUAUUUCAGCGUAUAGGCCUGAAUUUGGGCAUGUUACUUCAUGGGCACAUGAGGAAUGGAUAUUGAAAAGGAAACACUGAAACACGUCUAACUUGAAUCGAGGUGAGCACCAGUGGCACAAGUCUGACUAUCAAAUAUACGGUAGAGACUGCAUAUUCUUCAACACAGUAUCUUUAAGAUCUCUCUGCUGUCAACAAUGAGCAUGUGAAGACAUGCUUAUGCGUGCUGGUUUAUCUGUAUUUCUGCUGCAUAUAUGAACUCACAUUCAUUCUUUUUAAAAACAUAAGACAUUUCAAGCUUUUUUUUUUUUUUUUUUUUUUUUUUUUUUUUUUUGGUAUGGCUUGCAACAUGAAGACAUCUGUAUUAUAUUUAGUUUGCUUUCCAAGAAUCUGUAUUAUUUCCAAAGAAGAACUGACAAUGAUACUUUGAUCCGUGAUCCUUAAUAUUGGAUAUUUAAUAAAGUGCUUCUGCCUCCUGUGGUAGUGCAAGUUUGAUACA